rnacentral:lncRNA from 1 species
AUUUUAUAUAAAAACAAUAAAUGUGACUUUUAAAAAAACAAAACUAAGUUGUGGAGAAUGGUGACAAGGAAAACGUCAGACGAACUCUAAGGUUUCCUCCUUACACAACAAGCAAAGAACAUAACAGCUCCUUCACGUCUGCAGACCUCACUCAGAUCUCGUUUAGAGGAGCUGGCACACCAAGGUGGAGAUGGGUCUCUGCCUCAUCUCUCACAUCCAAACCAUUCUAUCAGUUUUACCUCCCAAGUGUCUCCCGUCUCCCCUUCCCCCAAAUUCUGCUGGGGCUUCUGUAGCCAGGCCUGUAUCUUCUCCCCUGACUGGGACCUUUUAAGAACAUUCUCAGAGACACCUAGCUCCGAAGUGACCCUGCACCACGUAUAUGUCAGUGAUCAUCCCCUGGACGGAUCCUCUCCUGUGCUUUGAGCC